UGGGGAAUAUUGCGCAAUGGGCGAAAGCCUGACGCAGCAACACCGCGUGAGGGAUGACGGCCUUCGGGUUGUAAACCUCUUUCAGCUCCGACGAAGCGAAAGUGACGGUAGGAGCAGAAGAAGCACCGGCUAACUACGUGCCAGCAGCCGCGGUAAUACGUAGGGUGCAAGCGUUGUCCGGAAUUAUUGGGCGUAAAGAGCUCGUAGGCGGUUCGGUAAGUCGGGUGUGAAAUCCAAGGCUCAACCUUGGGACGCCACCCGAUACUGCUGUGACUCGAGUGCAGUAGGGGAGCAGGGAAUUCCUGGUGUAGCGGUGAAAUGCGCAGAUAUCAGGAGGAACACCAGUGGCGAAGGCGCUGCUCUGGGCUGUAACUGACGCUGAGGAGC
rnacentral:rRNA from 1 species